ensembl:snRNA U5 U5 spliceosomal RNA
AUACUCUGGUUUCUCUUCAGAUCGUAUAAAUCUUUCGCCUUUUACUAAAGAUUUCCGUGGAGAGGAACAAUUCUGAGUCAUUAACCAAUUUUUUGAGGCCUUACCUUUUGGUGAGGCU